GUUAGGGUAGCAAAAAGGUUAAUGCAAGAAGUCUAAGUUUUCUCUACUAAGAGUUCAAUUCUCUUCCUUAAUU
rnacentral:tRNA from 1 species